AUACACUUGGAGAAUCAGCUAAGGAAGAGGCAAACCUCCUAUUCACCAUGAAAACUAUCAGCGUUGCCCUGUUGGCAUUGGUGGCCCUUUUUGCCCUGAUGGAGGUCACUGGAGCCCUGCCAGCACCCGAACCUAGCCGACGCCACUUCUUUGGAGGUAGUCCCUAUGGCUUCGGCGGUUACGGCUAUAGACCCCACGGAUUUGGCUUUGGCUAUGGCGGAUACGGCGGAGGUUUUGGAGGCUUUGGAGGUGGAUUUGGUGGAUAUAGUGGAGGUUUCUUCGGUUGAUAAACAUCUUAUCUUCCAUGAAUACACCGAAAGUUAGAAGUUAUGCAAAUGAAGAUAUGAGAGUUUAUUUUUCUAUGAAUUAUAAUAAAUUUUCUUUUUAUUAAAAAAAAAAAGCUUU